GGAAAACUUACCAGGUCCAGACAUAGUAAGGAUUGACAGAUUGAAGAUCUUUCUUGAUUCUAUGGGUGGUGGUGCAUGGCUGUUCUUAGUUGGUGGAGUGAUUUGUCUGGUUAAUUCCGUUAACGAACGAGACCUCAGCCUGCUAACUAGUCGUGCUUAUCCUUUGUCGCUGAUGUCGAUUCUUUUGAGUUGCUCGGACGUGGCAGAUUCAGGAUAGGCGGAGGUUUUCUCCUUCACAGCCUUCCCGGUUCGUAUUGGAGUGUCUCGUGCAACUUCUUAGAGGGACUAUCCGUGCGUAGCGGAUGGAAGUUUGAGGCAAUAA
rnacentral:rRNA from 1 species